AGUGAACGCUGGCGGUAGGCCUAACACAUGCAAGUCGAACGGCAGCACAGUAAGAGCUUGCUCUUACGGGUGGCGAGUGGCGGACGGGUGAGGCAUACAUCGGAAUCUACUUUUUCGUGGGGGAUAACGUAGGGAAACUUACGCUAAUACCGCAUACGACCUACGGGUGAAAGCAGGGGAUCUUCGCACCUUGCGCGAUUGAAUGAGCCGAUGUCGGAUUAGCUAGUUGGCGGGGUAAAGGCCCACCAAGGCGACGAUCCGUAGCUGGUCUGAGAGGAUGAUCAGCCACACUGGAACUGAGACACGGUCCAGACUCCUACGGGAGGCAGCAGUGGGGAAUAUUGGACAAUGGGCGCAAGCCUGAUCCAGCCAUACCGCGUGGGUGAAGAAGGCCUUCGGGUUGUAAAGCCCUUUUGUUGGGAAAGAAAAGCAGCAGGUUAAUACCCCGCUGUUCUGACGGUACCCAAAGAAUAAGCACCGGCUAACUUCGUG
rnacentral:rRNA from 1 species